UGAUCCGCCACACUGGGACUGAGACACGGCCCAGACUCCUACGGGAGGCAGCAGUGGGGAAUUUUGGACAAUGGGCGCAAGCCUGAUCCAGCCAUGCCGCGUGAGUGAAGAAGGCCUUCGGGUUGUAAAGCUCUUUCGGCGGGGAAGAAAUGGCACUUUCUAAUACAGAGUGUUGAUGACGGUACCCGCAUAAGAAGCACCGGCUAACUACGUGCCAGCAGCCGCGGUAAUACGUAGGGUGCGAGCGUUAAUCGGAAUUACUGGGCGUAAAGCGUGCGCAGGCGGUUGUAUAAGUCAGAUGUGAAAUCCCCGGGCUCAACCUGGGAACUGCAUUUGAGACUGUACGGCUAGAGUUUGGCAGAGGGGGUUGGAAUUCCACGUGUAGCAGUGAAAUGCGUAGAGAUGUGGAGGAACACCGAUGGCGAAGGCAGCCCCCUGGGCCAAUACUGACGCUCAUGCACGAAAGCGUGGGGAGCAAACAGGAUUAAAUACCCUGGUAGUCCACGCCCUAAACGAUGUCAACUAGGUGUUGGGGGGGUUAAACCCUUUAGUGCCGUAGCUAACGCGUGAAGUUGACCGCCUGGGGAGUACGGCCGCAAGGCUAAAACUCAAAGGAAUUGACGGGGACCCGCACAAGCGGUGGAUGAUGUGGAUUAAUUCGAUGCAACGCGAAAAACCUUACCUACCCUUGACAUGUCAGGAAUCCCGGAGAGAUUUGGGAGUGCUCGAAAGAGAGCCUGAACACAGGUGCUGCAUGGCUGUCGUCAGCUCGUGCCGUGAGAUGUUGGGUUAAGUCCCGCAACGAGCGCAACCCUUGUCAUUAAUUGCCAUCAUUAAGUUGGGCACUUUAAUGAGACUGCCGGUGACAAACCGGAGGAAGGUGGGGAUGACGUCAAGUCCUCAUGGCCCUUAUGGGUAGGGCUUCACACGUCAUACAAUGGUCGGUCCAGAGGGUUGCCAAACCGCGAGGUGGAGCCAAUCUCAGAAAGCCGAUCGUAGUCCGGAUUGGAGUCUGCAACUCGACUCCAUGAAGUCGGAAUCGCUAGUAAUCGCGGAUCAGCAUGUCGCGGUGAAUACGUUCCCGGGUCUUGUACACACCGCCCGUCACACCAUGGGAGCGGGUUCUGCCAGAAGUAGUUAGCCUAACCGCAAGGGGGGCGAUUACCACGGCAGGGUUCGUGACUGGGGUGAAGUCGUAACAAGGUA
rnacentral:rRNA from 1 species